rnacentral:tRNA from 1 species
GGUGAUGUAACUCAAUGUUACAGUGCUUGCCUAGCAUGCACAAAACUCUGGGUUCCAUACCCAGCAUCACAU